GCGGUGGGUUAGCUCGGUGGUCAGAGCUUAGGUCUUGUGACCAGAAGGUCCCGGGAUCGAAGCCCGCCAGAGGCA
rnacentral:tRNA from 1 species